rnacentral:lncRNA from 1 species
UUUUUUUUUUUUUGUACCCAUGCUGUUGAUUGUUAAAUGUAAUAGUCUGAUCAUGAUGCUGAAUAAAUGUGACUUUUAAAAAAGCAAACAAAAAGUCGCAGGUUAAGAUUAUAUGCUUUUACAAAGAAUAUGUUUGUUUCUGUUCUCUGUAUGAAAGUUUUGGCAAAGAUAAAAAUAUUCUUAUGGAUAUUUAGUAGAUAGAACAGAAGAAUGUCCAAUACCAUAAGCAAUAGUUUUCUACAAGUAAACCCAGAUUAUUUUAACAGCUAUUUAUUUCUGAUCAAUAGAAAAGCCUAUAUUCUAGGGCAGUGCUUCACAGCAGAAUUUUGGAUUGGAAUAAUGAUCAUGCAAGUGGACUCUGCACCAUUACUCUACACCCAAUGAUUAGGCUAAGUCUAACAGUAAUCUCAUUUCCAAGUGACUAGUUUAGGAGUGGGCAUGAACUAAUUCUAGCAUAAGACAAAGAUUUUUAAGGACCUGUGGAAAAAGUUGCCUUGUUCUUAAGGACACAGGAAAAAUUGACAUCUUACUUCCUUACUGGAUGUUGCUAUUCUGAUUUUGAAACUCUGGUGGCCACCUUUCUACCCACCUCUCUUAGUAUGGCAGUUGGAAUCAUGGUUUUCUGUCACGUGAGAAUUAAAAUAUCCUAACUGAUACAGGUAGGGAGGGAUAUACAAGCAUUCUGGGGAAUCAAGUGACCCCAAUGAGUUAUAACAGUGUCCAAACAUAAUUAGGAUAAAAUUUCUUCAGGAUAAGAAUAUGAUCAUUCACUUAAGAAAGUAGAAUAUUGGGACACCUGGGUGGCUCAGCGGUUGAGCAUCUGCCUUCAGCUCAGGGCAUGAUCCUGGUCUGGGGAUCGAGUCCCACAUUGGGCUCCAUGUGAGAGCCUGCUUUUCCCUCUGUCUAUGUCUCUGCCUCUCUCUCUGUGUCUCUCAUGAAUAAAUAAUAUCUUUAAAAAAAAGAAAAAGUAGAAUAGUGAAAAUGUAAUACAUAAAAAGAAUUAAUUCUUGCACAUUUCAGGAAAAAGAGGAAAGUUGAAAUGCAACACAGAUAUUUCAGCAAUGUAAUAGUGUAUUUUUAAACACAAUAAAACAAUGCUCAAUAAUUUUCAUAUGUUGAACCAACCAUGUACUCCUAGGAACAAUCCCACUGGGUCAUAGUGUAAAAUCUUUCUAAUAUGCUGCUGGAUUUGGUGUCCUAUAUUUUGUUAAGGAUUUUGCUCCUAGGGGCUCUGGGUGGCUCAGUUGGUUAAGUGUCUGCCUUUGGUUGUGGUCAUGCUCCCAGAGUCAUGGGACCAAGCUCAGAAUCAGGAUCACUGCUCAGUGGGGAGCCUGUUUCUCCCUCACCCUGUCCCCCGCCCAUGCUCUCUCUCUCUCUCUGUCUCUCUCUCAAAUAAAGUCUUUUAAAAAUAUAUGUAAGGAUUUUGCUUCUAUACUUAUAAGGGUUAUGGGUCUGAUAUCUGAAAUGCCAGCUCUACAUACAAUCCAUCUGGCAAGCUUCUAGGCCAUCAUAAUUCUGGUUUUCUUCCUCACUCCAUGGUAGCUCCUUCUCAGUCUCCUUUAAUGGCUCCUCCUCUUCAUUCUACCUCUUUGAAGUGUCUCAGGGCUCAGUCCUUGUUCCUUUUCUCUUCUUACAGUUCCUUUGAAAUCUCAUCUUCUCUUGUAGUUUUUAAUAUUGUCUAUAAGCCAACAACGCCCAAACAUAUGACUUCUACCAGACAUCUUUUCCAAACCACUUAUUCACUACCUCUAUUAGAUAUCAAAUCAAUAUCCCUAAUUCAACAAAUACGAAACAAAAUUCCUGAUCUCCCCCAUCAAAACCUGCUCUACCCACAGUUUUCUUUAUCUGGAUUGAUGACAACUCCACUUUCUACUUGCUCAGGCCAAAACUCUUGGGAGUCACCUUUGCCUCCUCUGUUGGCUUUUCUAAGUACAUCCUGAAACCAACAAUGUCUCACCACUUCCACUGGUACCACCCUGGUGUCACUCACCUUUAUCUCUCACUUUGGGUUACUUGCAAUAGCCUGCCAUCUCCUUAGACCCUUGACCAAAUACAGUCUAGUCUCAACACAGCAGGCAGAAUAAUCCUUUAAAAUAUCAAGACAGAACAUAUCACUUCCCUGUGCAAAACUCUACAAUGAUUCCCUGUUGUUACUUAAGAGUAAAAGCUAUUGUCUUUAACAUGGCCUAAGAGGCCCAACCAUGAUCUGGUCGCCGAUUCCUUCUUGAACCCCAUCCUUUGUAUGUCACCCCCACUCCCUGCACAAGCCACACUGGCCUUCUUACUGUUCCUAAAACACUAUGCAAGCUCCCCCUUAGGGCCUUUGUUCUAGCUGGUCCCCCUGUCUGGAAUACUCUUCUACCUUAUCUUACCCUAUUCUGAUUACUAACCCUUAUCCAUAACAAGCUGACCCAGACAUACAACCCAACCCUUUCUUUUAGUUCAGAAGGGGGGAAAUGCACAUACACAAACCACUCAUAAAAGUGGCUCAGAACUGAAGGCAGAAAUGGAGGGGAGUUGGUUAUAGCAACACAAAUAACACCCACUAAAACAUUAGUUGUGUCUCCCAUUUCUGCAAUGUCCUUUGGCCUCUCCCCAGCAAUCUCAACUGGCCUUGGAAAAUUCAAAAGAAAUCUCUACACUCCUUAGAAGACUGAGAGUUCUAUAGCCAUGCUAAAAAGUAAAUACCAGAAGUAGUUGUUAAUCCAUUAAGCUGCUCAAUGCAAUACAGUCAUAGUACAAUCCUAAGGUCAUGGUAACAAAUAAAUACCAAUUUUGUUUUUAAACUAUUUUUAUCAAUGAUAAUACCCUUCAGGAAAUACGCUUCUGAAACCAACUGGUCAGUGACAGCUCCAAGCUUUGAGAGUCAUAUAAUGGUGGCAGGCUCUCCAGGAACACACUUCUAAGGCUGAUGUCAACCCUGAAACAAACCAUUCCCCAAAACUGGAUCAACUUCAGAUGAGAGUUUGCUUUGUUCACUGAACUAGGCCUGGCCAGCAAGAGUCUCCCUGAUUCCAGAUACCGCAGUGUUCUCAUGAUGUUCUUUACACCAUUCAGUCCUGAGCCUCAGAUCUUCUUCCCUGCUCCUCCCUCCUCUCUGCUCAGUCCUCC